rnacentral:rRNA from 1 species
UACGUAGGGGGCUAGCGUUGUCCGGAAUCAUUGGGCGUAAAGCGCGUGUAGGCGGUUCGGUAAGUCCGCUGUGAAAGUCGGGGGCUCAACCCUCGAAUGCCGGUGGAUACUGUCGGACUAGAGUACGGAAGAGGCGAGUGGAAUUCCCGGUGUAGCGGUGAAAUGCGCAGAUAUCGGGAAGAACACCCGUGGCGAAGGCGGCUCUCUGGGACGGUACUGACGCUGAGACGCGAAAGCGUGGGGAGCGAACAGG